rnacentral:misc_RNA from 1 species
GAUGAAGAACGUAGCAAAAUGCGAUAAGUAAUGUGAAUUGCAGAAUUCAGUGAAUCAUCGAAUCUUUGAACGCACAUUGCGCCCGCCAGUAUUCUGGCGGGCAUGCCUGUUCGAGCGUCAUUUCAACCCUCAAGCACAGCUUGGUGUUGGGACCCGCGUUAAUUCGCGUUCCCCAAAUUGAUUGGCGGUCACGUCGAGCUUCCAUAGCGUAGUAGUAAAACCCUCGUUACUGGUAAUCGUCGCGGCCACGCCGUUAAACCCCAACUUCUGAAUGUUGACCUCGGAUCAGGUAGGAAUACCCGCUGAACUUAAGCAUAUCAAUAAGCGGAGGA